UCGAGGAUCUUCGGCAAUGGGCGCAAGCCUGACCGAGCGACGCCGCGUGCGCGAUGAAGGCCUUCGGGUUGUAAAGCGCUGUCGAGGGGGAGGAAAGCCCGCAAGGGUCUGACUAAUCCCUGGAGGAAGCACGGGCUAAGUUCGUGCCAGCAGCCGCGGUAAGACGAACCGUGCGAACGUUGUUCGGAUUCACUGGGCUUAAAGGGCGCGUAGGCGGGCGAUCAAGUCAGGGGUGAAAUCCUCCGGCUCAACCGGAGAACAGCUUUUGAUACUGGUCGCCUCGAGGGAGGUAGGGGCAUGUGGAACUUCCGGUGGAGCGGUGAAAUGCGUAGAUAUCGGAAGGAACGCCGGUGGCGAAAGCGACGUGCUGGACCUUCUCUGACGCUGAGGCGCGAAAGCCAGGGGAGCAAACGGGAUUAGAUACCCGCGUAGUCC
rnacentral:rRNA from 1 species